rnacentral:rRNA from 1 species
CAGCCGUAAACUAUGCGCGUUAGGUGUAUCGGUGACCACGAGUUACCGAGGUGCCGAAGGGAAACCGUGAAACGUGCCGCCUGGGAAGUACGGUCGCAAGGCUGAAACUUAAAGGAAUUGGCGGGGGAGCACCACAACAGGUGGAGCCUGCGGUUUAAUUGGACUCAACGCCGGGAAGCUCACCGGAUAGGACAGCAGAAUGAUUGCCGGGCUGAAGACCCUGCAUGACUAGCUGAGAGGAGGUGCAUGGCGU